rnacentral:rRNA from 1 species
GCGGAUGAAGGGAGCUUGCUCCUGGAUUCAGCGGCGGACGGGUGAGUAAUGCCUAGGAAUCUGCCUGGUAGUGGGGGAUAACGUCCGGAAACGGGCGCUAAUACCGCAUACGUCCUGAGGGAGAAAGUGGGGGAUCUUCGGACCUCACGCUAUCAGAUGAGCCUAGGUCGGAUUAGCUAGUUGGUGGGGUAAAGGCCUACCAAGGCGACGAUCCGUAACUGGUCUGAGAGGAUGAUCAGUCACACUGGAACUGAGACACGGUCCAGACUCCUACGGGAGGCAGCAGUGGGGAAUAUUGGACAAUGGGCGAAAGCCUGAUCCAGCCAUGCCGCGUGUGUGAAGAAGGUCUUCGGAUUGUAAAGCACUUUAAGUUGGGAGGAAGGGCAGUAAGUUAAUACCUUGCUGUUUUGACGUUACCAACAGAAUAAGCACCGGCUAACUUCGUGCCAGCAGCCGCGGUAAUACGAAGGGUGCAAGCGUUAAUCGGAAUUACUGGGCGUAAAGCGCGCGUAGGUGGUUCAGCAAGUUGGAUGUGAAAUCCCCGGGCUCAACCUGGGAACUGCAUCCAAAACUACUGAGCUAGAGUACGGUAGAGGGUGGUGGAAUUUCCUGUGUAGCGGUGAAAUGCGUAGAUAUAGGAAGGAACACCAGUGGCGAAGGCGACCACCUGGACUGAUACUGACACUGAGGUGCGAAAGCGUGGGGAGCAAACAGGAUUAGAUANCCUGGUAGUCCACGCCGUAAACGAUGUCGACUAGCCGUUGGGAUCCUUGAGAUCUUAGUGGCGCAGCU